UAGGGAAUAUUAGUAAUGGGCGAAAGCCUGAACUAGCAACGCCGCGUGUGCGAAGAAGGCCUUCGGGUCGUAAAGCACUUUUUGAGAGGAUGAGGAAGGACGGUACUCUCAGAAUAAGUCUCGGCUAACUACGUGCCAGCAGCCGCGGUAACACGUAGGAGGCAAACGUUAUCCGGAUUUACUGGGCGUAAAGCGCGUGUAGGUGGUUUGGUAAGUAGGGCGUGAAAGCUCCUGGCUCAACUGGGAGAGGACGUUCUAAACUGCCAAGAUUGAGGAUGGUAGAGGGAGGUGGAAUUCCGGGUGUGGCGGUGGAAUGCGCAGAUAUCCGGAGGAACACCAGUGGCGAAGGCGGCCUCCUGGACCACUCCUGACACUCAGACGCGAAAGCUAGGGUAGCAAACGG
rnacentral:rRNA from 1 species